UAUGGAUUUAAGUGGGAAGGACACAUAGGCUUUACUCUCUCUUUUUAAUUAUCAAACCAAGUAAGAGAAGAGGAGGUUCAUCCAUGACUGAUUAUACCAGAUACAGGAACAGCCUAAAUAUUUAUUCUGAUAUGUUUCUAAACAAAUCUUUAUGUGCUUAUUACCACACCAGUGCCAAAUCAACCAAAAUUCCUUAGGCCCAAGAAGAGUAGAAAACCGUCACCCAGUCCAAGGCAUAUUGCCAGAAUUUGCUGCUUCCCACCUUUCUGCGAGACUUCCAGCAGUAAUAGACAUUAAUAGCCUAAGACAAAUCAGCCUCUUCUUGUGUAAGCUGAACCACAAAAUCUUCAGUUCUACGAAAGCUUCAAGAAUGCGUUGCACUGAAUGUGUCCUUUAUUUCUCUUGCACUUUAACUGAAAAGUGUUGUACUUGCUUUAUUCUGGCAAUGCAGACUGAAUAUUAAAAUACAGAUAAUUGUGUGAUAAACAUAUAUAGCUUAAUG